rnacentral:miRNA from 1 species
AAGGUUCUAGCAGUGGGGAAAGACUGUGGCAGUUGGGAAGUGGUAGGAAGAUGCUCUCAAAGCUCCCUGCAGCUAAUGACUUUUCCUGAUGCCUCCCAUCCCCAAUACUUGUGUGGUUC